GGUCAGGUAGCUCAAUAGGUAGAGUACCUGGUAUAUCCAGAAGCCCUGGGUUCAACCCCCGUCUGGGCA